UUACUACUCCCUCCGUCCGAAAAUAUUUGUCACAGAAAUGGAUACAAAUGUAUGUAUCUAGAUUCAUUCAUUCCUCUGACAAGUAUUUUUGAACGGAGGAAGUAGCCG
rnacentral:pre_miRNA from 1 species